CGGGGCUACCCGCUGAGUUUAAGCAUAUCAAUAAGCGGAGGAAAAGAAACUAACAAGGAUUCCCCUAGUAACUGCGAGUGAAGAGGGAAAAGCUCAAAUUUAAAAUCUGGUAGCUUUGCUGCCCGAGUUGUAAUUUAGAGAAGUGAUGCCCGCGCUGGACCGUGUAUAAGUCUCCUGGAAUGGUGCGUCAUAGAGGGUGAGAAUCCCGUCUUUGACACGGACUCCCAGUGCAUUGUGGUACGCUCUCAAAGAGUCGUGUUGUUUGGGAAUGCAGCACUAAAUGGGUGGUAAAUUCCAUCUAAAGCUAAAUACUGGCGAGAG
rnacentral:rRNA from 1 species